GGUCUGCAACUCGACCCCAUGAAGUCGGAGUCGCUAGUAAUCGCAGAUCAGCAACGCUGCGGUGAAUACGUUCCCGGGCCUUGUACACACCGCCCGUCAAGUCACGAAAGUUGGUAACACCCAAAGCCGGUGGCCUAACCUUUUGGAGGGAGCCGUCUAAGGUGGGAUUGGCGAUUGGGACUAAGUCGUAACAAGGUAGCCGUACCGGAAGGUGCGGCUGGAUCACCUCCUUU
rnacentral:rRNA from 1 species